GUUAGUGGCUGAGUCAGAACUUCCUGCCCCCGACCCGGGGAAAGCCGCCCUCCUUGUUGUGGCCUGACCUGCCCUGGCCCACCUCUCCGCCCCCGCUCACCUCCUCCCUGAUGGGUUCCGGCCACAGCGGCCUCCUUUCUGCCCCAAGAACGCGCCGAUCUGGUUCCCACUCACCUCCGAUGGCCCCCUUGACGUUUCCACUUGGGUUUUCCACCAGGCAUCUCAAACCUAAGGGGGCUGGAGAGAAUUUUAUGCCUCCCUCUGGCCAGCAAAGAAACUUGCUUCUCCCCAAUACUCUGCCCUCUUAGAAAAUGAAUCUGUCAAUCACCCAAAUGUCCAGCCCAGCGUGCAAGGGUCGCCCUCGAUUUAACUUUUCCAUCACCCCCUCCACAUCCACUGACAGCAGGUCCUGUGGGCUCUGCCUUAGAAAUAGUGUUUGUCCACGGCUCUUGCCUCCACUGCUGUCACUACCUCCUGCUUGGCCAGGUGCCUGUGGUAGGGGACAAGGUUCUCCAAUGCCACUUUCUCUCAUGAGCAGCAUGCUUCACCACAGGGGCCUGAAGCUCCUCUAACCCGGUUCUCAAAGUCAGCUCCCCAGACCAGCUGCAGAGCAUCACCUGGGGGCCGUUAGAAAUGCAAAUUCCUGGCUCCCCGCCUCAGACCCACGGAAUCAGAAACUCGGGGGAGGGACCCAGCACUUUGUUGUUACAAGCCCUCCAGGGGAUUCUGCUGCACUCACGGCCUUCAAGCAUCCACCCGACCCCUUAAACUCUUAAACGAAGAGUAACCACUUCACAGGGUUCUGGCCGGGAUUCUUGAGUGAAUGCCUGCAAAGUGCUUAGAACACUGUCUGGUGGAGUAAAGAAUGGAUAAACAAUAGUUGUUUUUUACUUUACCUACAGUUGAGUAACUCGUAAAAGCAAGCCCCAGCCAGAUGCAAACUCGAACCCCUCCCCCCCACCAUGUGAUGGAAGCAGCUAUUUCACCACAGAAUGUUGUCUUCUCAUCACACGUCCAAUUCACGUGUACUGGGCACCAAUUGUAUGACAGGUGCUGGGCAGGCUCGGAGGAUACAGGACAGACAGGGCCAACGGAAUCCGUGUCCAUCCCGAGUUUAGGUCACCACACAGCUGGUGUGUCAGGAUUCAGAAGGCCCCCCCAACGCCCCCCAGCCUCGAGACCCUGGGCAAACCAGUUAGUGUCGUCGUCUGAACUGGAGAUGAUAGAGUGCUCACAGAGUCACUCGGGAAUAAUGAGGAUCCACACAGGGCCUGUGCUUGGUGGGCUAAGUCAAUCGUGUCGCUCUCCUUGCCCAUGACUGGCUGAGGCUCAGGUCUGGGCGCCAUCCUGGCCAGUGCAUUGUGAAGGCAGAUUUGCGAGGCACCGCUAGGAGGGGGUUUCCCAACUCUAAAACAGGAGGUAAGCAGCCAGUUGUCCUGUCUGUGGGUGACACUUUAAACUGUAGCAGCCACCUGGGUGCCAUGAGGGGUGAUAGUCAGACACUCCACUCAGGGUGGGAGGGAGGAGAGAUGGAGGAAGCUGGUCCUUGGUGGCAUGGUGGAGCUGCUGAGUUAACCGCCCCUCGCUGGAGCUCCCCUACCUCCAGGCUUCUCUCUACGUGAAAUAAGAAGUCCCCUCAAGCCUUUUCAAGUCAAGUCGGGGGCUCUGCAUUUUCAUUCUGCACUGGACCCUACAAAUGAAGUAGCUGUUCACGUACACAUCACUUUGAUCAUUUGUGCAGUGUCCACACACCACCGCUUUUUCUCCAGCAUUGAAGUGUACCAUAAAUAAUUAGGAAUGGAACGAAGAACUGACUCCCUGGAACGUCCUGCCUACGCUUCUCCGCCUGCCUCGUGCUUCAGCCCGUGGGACGGCAGAGCAGAUCAAAGCAUCGGUCCAUUUUACGGUCGGGACCAGUGAGGCUCAGCGAGCGAGAAUCCCAGCCAAACCUGCAAAUAACGUUCCUGCAUAAACAUGAAAUACAGGUCGCUGUGUUGAGCGGCGUUUUCCCAGCGCCACUUCUUCUGGGAUCCUGAGGACCUGGUGGGCCGUCGGGGGUCCUUCCAGAGGCCCGCAGAGGGCACGGGCUCCCUCCGCCACGUGGUGCGGGCUCGGGAGGGAGGGCGGGCUGAGCGCAGGGCGGGGCCCCAUCAGAGGUGGAACCAGCACCGCAGCGUCUCUGUGCGGUACCGUCAGGAAAACCCACGUGAGAGAAAUAAACGUCUGUUUCAAAAUAAACUGCAGCAGCAAGAAGAGAAGCGUUCCUCGAAACCUCACUACCGCUUGGAAUUCGUGCUGAACUUUUUAUAGCUCUGAGAACAAUCCGAUGUCCCCAAGAGAAAAGCAUACUAGGUUUUACAGUUUGUUUGUUUACACCACGGAAACCGCUCAAGACCUCUCGUUAAUUUCCUCAUGACGUUUUGUAAUUGCCAAAGCAGGUUGCUUGAAGUGAACCGAAGCCUAAAGGGUUAUAAUAUGUUUUUCUUAUUCAAUAAUAAGGAUCGAAAUAUAUUUUGUAAUUAAAUCUAUUAAAAGCUUAUUAAAUUUGCUUUACAGUUAA
ensembl:lncRNA